rnacentral:tRNA from 1 species
GGGUCGGUAGCUCAGGGGGAGAGCACCUCGUUGACGCCGAGGGGGUCAGGUGUUCAAAUCACCUCCGACCCACCA